GACGAACGCUGGCGGCGUGCUUAACACAUGCAAGUCGAACGGAAAGGCCCUGCUUGCAGGGUGCUCGAGUGGCGAACGGGUGAGUAACACGUGGGUGAUCUGCCCCUUACUUUGGGAUAAGCCUGGGAAACUGGGUCUAAUACUGGAUAGGACCAUGCUGCAGGUGGUGUGGUGGAAAGAUUAGUUUCGGUAAGGGAUGAGCUCGCGGCCUAUCAGCUUGUUGGUUGGGUAAUGGCCUACCAAGGCGUCGACGGGUAGCCGGCCAGAGGGGGUGGACGGCUGAAUGGGGACUGUGGUACGGCCCCGACUCCUACGGGAGGCAGCAGUGGAGAAGAUUGCACUAUUGGCGCAUGCCUGAUGCACCGACGCCGCGUGGGCGAUGACGGCCAUCGGGUUGUAAGCUCCUUUCAGCCAUGACGAAGCCCUUGUGGUGACGGUAGUGGUAGAAGAAGCUCCGGCUAACUACGUG
rnacentral:rRNA from 1 species